AGCUCCCUCUGCUCCCUCUAUAUUAGUAACUGGUUAUUCUUUGCAGACGAAGCAUCUCCAAAUCAGUAUUUUAUGAUUCCUUGUCAUUGUAUAUUUGUAUAGUUUAAGCUAUGUCAAAUCAAUAACAUUUAAUCCUCCAAUAAACCUCACUAUAACUUAGUUCCAAAUGAGCAUUCGGCCUAUGUGACAUUUUAUUACUUUAAAACUGUGACACAAGGGUGAAUGUAGCCGGUCUGACCAGCGUGAAGAUGUGACUAAACCACAUCAGUUUGAGAGGCAGAAAACCAAUGGGAACUGGGCAGGGAGCGUAAAUGUGUCUCUCACAGAGAAAACUAGGUCCAAAUAUUUAGCUUCCAUCACCUUUUAUGCCUGUAGUAAUUUAUUGUGCUUAGAUUUAUUGAGGUUAUCAACUUCAAGGAUUUUUUUUUUUCUUUUUAUUUUUUA
rnacentral:misc_RNA from 1 species